GACGAACGCUGGCGGCGUGCUUAACACAUGCAAGUCGAACGGUAAGGCCCUUCGGGGUACACGAGUGGCGAACGGGUGAGUAACACGUGGGUGAUCUGCCCUGCACUUCGGGAUAAGCCUGGGAAACUGGGUCUAAUACCGGAUAGGACCCUGGGAUGCAUGUCCUGGGGGGGAAAGCUUUUUCGGUGUGGGAUGGGCCCGCGGCCUAUCAGCUUGUUGGUGGGGUGAUGGCCUACCAAGGCGACGACGGGUAGCCGGCCUGAGAGGGUGACCGGCCACACGGGGACUGAGAUACGGCCCAGACUCCUACGGGAGGCAGCAGUGGGGAAUAUUGCACAAUGGGCGCAAGCCUGAUGCAGCGACGCCGCGUGAGGGAUGACGGCCUUCGGGUUGUAAACCUCUUUCAGCACCGACGAAGCGCAAGUGACGGUAGGUGCAGAAGAAGGACCGGCCAACUACGUGCCAGCAGCCGCCGCAG
rnacentral:rRNA from 1 species